UUUUUGGCUAUAUUCGAUAAUACUCGGUCACGACCCCAACCAUCCCCUCCGUCACUGAUCACCACCUUUUCCCCACUCGGACAUGCGACCCCGACGCCGUGAAUCCGCCAAAUCCCUUCUCGACCGAAACCCACCAAAUCAUGAUUCCCUUAUCUUGUCCUUGAUUUGAUUUGGAAUUUGAAGUUGGUUUCUCUCUCACUCUUUCCUGAAUUCAACACCCUAGAGGCUUGAAAUCUAGAACAAAACCGCAAACGCGAUGUCCUUCCACCUAAGGUUCAGAUUCAGUGGAGACGAAGACCUCCCAACAACUAAAGAUAUUAUAUUACUUGUUCUAAAUUACCCUGCAACACUCUUUGGGAUUGUUUUUUUUUAAUGAAUAAUUUUGGGAGAUUGAUGAAAUCAAACGCAUAAGACUUGUGCUUCGGUAUUCAGUAUCAUCUGUUAGGCAACACAACCACAACCACUGCUAUUGUUUCAGUAGUGAUCUGAACCACUGCAGUGCCAUAACAGUAGAUACCGCCAUGACAGCCCACGAAGCUUCCUCUUCAUCCUCCUCCAAGUCAAAACUUUGGAACUACGACGUCUUCUUGAGCUUCAGAGGCGAAGACACGCGCAAGGGCUUCACAGACCACCUCCACGCGGCAUUAAAAGACAGGGGAUACCAGACUUUUAUGGGUGACAACGAUCUCAAAAGAGGGAAAGAAAUGAAAGAGGAACGGUUACUGGCAAUCGAAGAGUCGAGGAACUCUAUCAUUGUCUUCUCAAAGAGGUAUGCGCAUUCGAGUUGGUGUGUUGACGAGCUGGUGAAGAUCAUGGAGUGCAGAUCCAAACUGGGGCGACAUGUUUUGCCAAUAUUCUAUCACUUUGAUCCUUCGCAUUUCAGGAAGCUGGAAGAAGAUUUAGCCAAAGCAUUUCAGAAACGCGAAUUGGACAUCGGUGAAGAAAAAGAUGACCGGAAACGUGAAUAUGAAAGAGAAAGGGUUAAGCAGUGGAGAGAGGCUCUUAAAGAAGCUGCAAGUUUGUCCGGCUACCAAGCUCAAAUCAAUGACAAUGGGUGAGAAGCAGAGCUUAUUAGAGAAAUUGUUGACUAUGUUAUUACGGAAUGGCUUCCGAGCACAAACGAACUAAAUGUGGCCAAGCACCCGGUUGGAUUACAUGACUUGUUAAAUUACCCAGCAACACUCUUUGGGAUUGGUUUUUUUCUUUUUUUUUAAUGAGUAAUUUUGGUAGAAUCGUGAAAUCAAACGCCUAAGAUUACCCAGCAACACUCUUUGGGAUUAUGUUUAUGAUUUUUAGCUUUUGAAGUUUUUUGGCUAACAAGAAUGUAUUUCUCUCUUCUUUUCUGUAUAUGCAAGGAUGAUGGGCACAGCUGGGCCGUGCUGCAGGACCAAAUCAGUAAUUUACCACCCGAAAUCCUUGUCUGUAUAGUGUCACUCUUGCCGCUAAAGGAAGCAGCAGCUACUAGUAUUCUUUCUAGGUGAUGGUGCCAUGUCUGGGCAUCUACUACGACUCUCAGUUUUGACGCUGUUAACUUUGAUGUUGGCGAUAGUGCUAUCGCCACUACUAUACAACGCUUCUUGAAGCUCAAAGAACAAGUGAAAGACCAGGUAAGCCUCCUCUACGUCAAUUGGGUCGAUCACAUUCUGGGCCAACAUAGAGGCCAAUGCAUUGAACGCUUCCGGGUUUGCUGUUUUUCUGCAACGCGACUUUGCCGGUUCCAUUGCCAAAUGGAUCCAAUUUGCAAUGGAAAAGAGGGUUCAAAUACUUGAGUUGGAGCUUUGGACAGACUCAAUAGCUUGCCUUGAUGAUGACUACACAUUUCCCCACGAACUACUAUUGGGUCCAGAAAAGCAAAACGGCCUGUUUUCUAACCUUCCAAGCCUACGCCCUUGUGGAUACAGUACUGCUCCUUCAAGUCCCUCAGAGUUGUUCGCUUUAAACAUGUUGGUGUGACCAGCGAUGCUGUUGAGUUCUUGUUGUCCAACUGUCCAGUUCUAGAACGUUUGUCGCUGAGUUUUGCCAAAGAUUUAGGCAAGCUAAGAGUGAUAGGUCCCUCCAUCGCGUUGAAAUAUUUAGAGAUAAAGUAUUGCCUUGAUCUCAGAUUCAUUGAGAUCUCUGGUGGAAACAUUGUCUCCUUUAUUUAUUGUGGACCGAUAAGAGAUUUGAGUUUGAAUAAUGUGCCCUUGCUGGUUGAGGUAUCCAUUUACAAGUGGGGCACUUUUGCUGAAUUCAUUAGGCUUGCGUUCAGUCAACUCUCAUGCUGUCUUUCUCAUUUAGAGACCCUGAAGCUGGAUAUCAGGAAAGUGGUCUACAAUCAGAAUCAUGCGUUUCCCGCAUUAUCAAAUCUAAAGCAUUUGGAAUUAUUAGUGGAUGCCGACUACUGUCUGUCCCUUGGUCACUUAGCUUCUUUCAUGAAGGCAGCUCCUGACUUGCGCAGCCUUGUUUUGGGGUUGGUUUCAGAACCUCCAACAAGGACAUGGCAAUACUAGAGAAAGUUUCCAAACAACCCCAUCACUGCCUCAAGGUGGUAGAAAUAGCAGGGUAUCGGGGUCAUAAGUGUUGCGUAAAGCAUGUCAGGUACUUGGUGAAGAAUGCUGUUGCACUGGAGAAGAUUGUUAUAAAUCCUGUCCGGUUUUGGGGUUGGCCUUGGGGAUUCGAUAGCGAUGCCCUACUGGAGAAUGAGGAAGAGAAUGCAAGAGAUCAUGCUAUCCAACACCUGAAGAAAAAAGUGCCUUCUAGUAUAGAAUUUGUGUGCCUUUAGGAGUGCAGCGCCGCAGUGCUUAUUCGGAAGCAGCUACUUGAAUAACUAUUAAUUUUAGUGGCUGCAGAACUUGGUAUGGAAUGAAGAUUUGUAAGACGAUUUUCACCGGCUUUAUUUUCUCUCAUUAAUUUUAGUGUUUCUUUAAUUGUCUAUGGUGUUUUGUUCUAGAUGAUCAUGUAAAAUUAUGAUUGAACUGAAUGAAUCCGUUUUUCCAGUAAUUUUUCUUUUGAUGAUUUGUAAAUUUGGUGACCAAAUAAUGGAGAGCUGCUUUCUUAAACUCAA